rnacentral:lncRNA from 1 species
UCCUUGUCUUCAUUUUCUUUCCAUCUUACAGAAUAAAUUAUGCAGAAACAACCCAACUUCUCAUGCACUCAUAGAAGCUCAACAUAGCUCUAUUUCAGGUUUUUCAACAGAUUGGUAUGACCCAAAUAUCAGCAGUCCCAUCUUUGGACACGUGUAUAUAUAUAUAUAUAUAUAUAUAUUACAUAUGAUAAGUAAAAAAAUUAGUUUNUGUAUAUAUAUAUAUAUAUAUAUAUAUUACAUAUGAUGAAAAAAAAUUGUUAAUUUUUUAAAGCCAUAAGGUACAAAUUGAUGUGCACAUAUUGGGUUAGAGUGUAACAUGAGGUUGGUAUACUCUUCUCCGAGCAG